rnacentral:rRNA from 1 species
ACUCCUACGGGAGGCAGCAGUGGGGAAUCUUGCACAAUGGGCGAAAGCCUGAUGCAGCAACGCCGCGUGCGGGAAGACGGCCCUAGGGUUGUAAACCGCUUUCAGGAGGGAAGAAAAUGACGGUACCUCCAGAAGAAGGUGCGGCCAACUACGUGCCAGCAGCCGCGGUGACACGUAGGCACCAAGCGUUAUCCGGAUUUAUUGGGGCGUAAAGAGCUCGUAGGCGGUUCGGUAAGUCGGGUGUGAAAUCCAAGGCUCAACCUUGGGACGCCACCCGAUACUGCUGUGACUCGAGUGCAGUAGGGGAGCAGGGAAUUCCUGGUGUAGCGGUGAAAUGCGCAGAUAUCAGGAGGAACACCAGUGGCGAAGGCGCUGCUCUGGGCUGUAACUGACGCUGAGGAGCGAAAGCAUGGGUAGCAAACAGGAUUAGAUACCCUGGUAGCGACUGA